AGACGUAAAAGAGAAAAGCUUUAUAAUUUCUUCAAUCAUCUUUGUUCAUUAUCCGAUCCUUCAAAUUCAUUUCUUCUUUCUACCUUUAAACUACUUUUAUAAGCUUAAUAUGUAUACAUAUAAAGUCUAAUUUCUUUUUAUACAAUUUGGGAAUCUUUUUCUCUUUAUUUUCAAGUAUUGAAACCUAUCUGAUCCAAAUUUGUACAUAUUCUUUGUUGAAUUCUUUGUAAAAAAAAAAAAAAAAAGAAUACUUUAUUUGAUUCUUGAAUUUGAUGUACAGGUAGAUAAAGAUUUGUUUGAUACAUACAACAAAGUAAGUUUUUGAAAAAUUUGUUGUGUUUUACAAGUUAAAGUUUGGAUUUUUUUGUGGUGGGGUUUGGUUAGUUGUGUUCUUUAUUGUGAAGUAGUGAAAGUUUAGAAGAAGACAUAUUUGGAUUCAAUAGCUUUUAUUUUUUUGCUAUUCUGUUUUAGUGAUUUGGAAGAAGCGGUUUGUUUUUUCCAGUUGUGGGGUUUGGAUUUAUAUGGUGUUGGAAGCAAAUGAUACAGACAGGUGUUUAGAUGAGAGUUUAAACAGUUUCAUAUUGUAACGUUUUUUGCCUAGGGGUUAUCAAGAACGGUGAUAUAUAGGGAACUAACCUAAGGGGUAUGAUCAGAAGUGUAGAGAAUAAAAGAUUCAAGAAUCAGAGAGUUGUUUUCGAUUUCCGUGUUGUAUUUGCUUUGGUUUCUGCUCUUUGGGAGCUUUGGAAUGAGGAAUGAUGCACAAAAACCACCUCUUGAAGGUGGAAAUGUUGCACUAGGCAGGAGCAAAAAUGGUGUUUUUCCAGCUUCGUUUCGAGCUUUUUCCAAGAUUGUAUCGUCUGGGGCUUCGACUGUUGCUUCGACGGUUAAGUCAGCAGCUUCAGCUGCUUCGGCUAUUGUGGAGAGGGACAAUGAUUCCAGCCAUGAUCAGGUUCUCUGGGCUGGGUUUGACAAGUUGGAAUGUGAGAGUGGCACAACUCGGCAAAUUUUGCUCCUGGGGUGUCGUUACGGCUUCCAGGUUUGGGAUGUUGAAGAUGCUGACAAUGUGUGCAACUUGGUUUCCAGGCAUGAUGGUCCUGUUUCUUUCAUGCAAGCGUUACCAAAACUAAUAGCAUCAAAGAAUUGUGACGACAAAUUUUCUGUUAGUCGCCCAAUGUUGAUACUUUGUGCGGAUGUAUCUUUUUCUGGUGGUAGUAACAGUGGGGAGAGCAUAGGAACUCCUCAUAAUGGAAUGUCCCAACACUAUCAUAACCAAGCAAGACCCACUUUUGUGCCCACUGUUGUUUGGUUUUACUCCAUGAAGUCUCACUCUUACGUGCAUCAAUUGAGGUUCAGAUCAGUUGUUCACUUGGUAAGGUGCAGCUCCCGAGUGAUUGCAAUCUUACAAGCAGCUCAGAUACAUUGUUUUGAUGCUGCAACUCUAGAAAGGGAAUUUACUAUUGUCACCAAUCCUGUUGUCACGGGGUUUCCUGCAUCUGGAAACAUAGGUGUGGGACCUCUCGCGGUAGGUCCCAGGUGGAUAGCCUAUAGUGGAAGUCCAGUUUCAGUCUCGAAUUCUGGUCGAGUCAAUCCACAGCACCUUACUCCUUCUGCUAGUUCCCCAAGUCCUGCUCCAAAUGGGAGCCUUGUUGCUCAUUAUGCAAAGGAAUCAAGCAGGCAACUUGCUGCUGGUAUUGUGACUCUAGGGGACAUGGGGUACAAGAAGCUGUCGAGAUACUAUUCUGAGCUGCGAUCAGAUGGUAAUUGUUCUCAGCCUGGGAAUGCUUGUGUGAAGGUACCAGGAGCUGCUAAUGGACAUUUUCAAGAUGUAGACAGUGUUGGAAUGGUCAUAGUCAGGGACAUUGUCAGCAAAGCUCUUAUUGCUCAGUUUAGGGCACAUAAGAGUCCCAUUUCAGCUUUGUGCUUUGAUCCUAGCACUACUCUUCUGGUGACAGCUUCAGUUCAAGGUCAUAAUAUCAAUGUAUUUCGGAUAGUGCCUGGACUAUCUGAAAGUACAUGUGAUACUGAUCCUGGAUCUUCUUAUGUCCAUCUCUAUACGCUGCAGCGUGGACUGACUAACGCGGUCAUACAAGACAUAAGUUUUAGUUGUGAUAGCCGGUGGAUUAUGAUAAGUUCUUCCAGAGGAACUAGCCAUCUUUUUGCGGUAUCUCCUUCAGGGGGAUCAGUUGAUUUUCAUACGGCUGAUGCAUGUCUUAGUGUUUGCGCUAAUGGCUCCCGGGUGAUGGCAAAACCUGUGAAUUCUGUUAAUCAACAAAGCAUUUGUGGAUCUGGCCCACCCGUGACACUUUCUGCUGUUGGCCGAAUAAGGAGUGGAAGUAAUGGUUGGAAGAAUACUCUAAGUGGUGCUGCCGCUGCUGCAACGGGAAACGUUAGCUCUCUAUCUGGGUCCAUUGCUUCAGCUUUUCAGUACUACAAAGACUAUAACCAAUGUACAGAUGCAACCUUACUAAAGUCAACUUAUCACCUGCUGGUUUUUUCUUCUCCUGGCUGUGUGAUACAAUAUACUUUACGCAUGUGUUCUGGUCUAGAUCCUGUUACAACCACUACUGCGGUGGGUACAACACAUGAGUCAGGUCUUGAAGUUGAUACAAGAUUAGUUGUAGAUGCAAUCCAGAAGUGGAAUAUUUGCCAGAAACAAAAUCGCAAAGAGCGAGGUGGUAAUAUUGAUAUAUAUGGUGAAUUUGGAGACACUGAUAGCAGUAAAGUAUUUCCUGAAGGCAUAAAGGUAGAAAAUGGUCUCAAUUCUAAGCCUAGGAAUACAACAACCACAGAAGAAAAGAGAACUUCUGAUGAAAGACAUCAUAUGUAUAUAUCUGAAGUGGAGCUUGAAAUGCAUAAACCUCAGGUUCCAUUGUGGGCAAAACCUGAGAUCUAUUUUCAAUCAUUUGCUGCAGACGAGAUUAAUAUAGGUGAUGUUUAUGCUUUUGGAGGAGAGGCUGAGAUAGAAGUAUUUCCAACUCAUUCACUCGAGGCGAGAUCAAAAGAUUUAGUUCCAGUUUUUGAAUUCAUUCAAGCUUCCAAGACCCAACAAGGGAGGGUAUCUGUUAACGGUGACAAUAACGUCUCUGAUAACUGCAAUCUUAUGGCUAAUGGAGUUAAUGGAUCACAUCAUUCCAUGAAUGGUCCCAGGAGCGAAGUUCACUGCGGCCGAGAAGUAAAUGGGUUGGAUGGUCUUCCAAUGACAGGUCAAACAGCUCAUGGCUUUGUAGAUAGUAGCGAGAGCCCUAAAGCGGAUGCCCGGCUAGAUUUUGUAAAUAAUAUGAAGAGCUCCGAGAUGGAGCCACAGUCUAAGUUUGUACAUAAUAACCUAGAUGGUGCAGAAAUGGAGAAUCAUUUCGAUGAUGAAGUUGACGGCGGUGAUUGAAGGUGAUUGCUUCCCAUCUGACCAAGUUUUGGUGGAUAAAGUUACCUGGUACCUGUGCUGGUGGGAGGUAGCAGGUGUUCGUUAUUCGUUUAUUACGUGGAGGUUUCUGUAAGUGUUAAUAUUGUGGGAGGUGAAAAUGUAGAGAAGGAAGAGAGUUUAGGCUCCUUGAUUGACCCAAUGUGCAAAGUGUGGAUGCUUUUGACUUUGUAAAUAUUAGACACUGAAACUUGUCCAAUAAAGUAACUCGUAAUAUUUAAAUAAUUGCCUGGAUCUUGCAACUUGUUACUUUAUUUUGUUAUCGUCAUUCACCUUA